rnacentral:rRNA from 1 species
GACGUAGGGGGCGAGCGUUGUCCGGAUUUAUUGGGCGUAAAGAGCUCGUAGGCGGUUUGUCACGUCUGCUGUGAAAUCCCGAGGCUCAACCUCGGGCCUGCAGUGGGUACGGGGCAGACUGGAGUGCGGUAGGGGGAGAAUGGAAUUCCUGGUGUAGCGGUGGAAUGCGCAGAUAUCAGGAGGAACACCGAUGGCGAAGGCAGUUCUCUGGGCCGUAACUGACGCUGAGGAGCGAAAGCGUGGGGAGCGAACAGG